CGUAGCUCCAGUAUACUCCUGAACACUCCUGGACAGACCAGUCUUCUGUGGCUGCAGGGCCGAGUCCGCCGACGGCGUCAUGCGCGUGUAGGGUCGGACAGCCGAGUAGGGGAAACCCUCUGUUGAGAGGCAGGAUUGUUAACAUUCUUAGGGUGAAAGUCCCUAGGUUGCGUUGUCUAUUCCGUGUUAAAAGAAACCAGAAGACCCUCACCAGUCCUAACUUGGUUACACAUCAGUAAGUGUCUGCGUUCACAGCAUGAGCCUGUUGGAUUUAACUAAAUGUAAAACUAUGGAGGGCUGAAUGAAGGUUUAAUAACAUCUCUGUGCUUGUUUUUUUUUUUUUUUUUUUUUGUUAGAUAUUUAUUAAUUACUAGCACUAUAUCCUUAUUCUUUAAACUAGCUCUGCUUUAGCGUGUUAAUUGCUAGUUUUGUUGGCCCUAGUGCGGUAAGUUGGUCCUGACAUUUUCUAUUAUCCAGCAUGUGAUUUAUUUAUCUAUUUAUUUUUUUGUAUAUGUUUUGUAAAAUUUUUUUUGAUCAGUUUAACCUUUUUUAUAUGCGAUUUGGAAUUUUUGAAAAUGUCUGGACAGUUACAUACGUUUUUCCUUCACAAAUCUACAAUUUUAACUUAUUUUUUUUAUUUAUUUAAUUAUUUGAACUGAUUUAUUCUUGGCUGGUAUAUGUACAUGAAUAAUUAUAAAAUUAUAUUAAGAUGUAAAUCUUUGUAAGG
ensembl:lncRNA